rnacentral:tRNA from 1 species
GGCCCCUUAGCUCAGCAGGAUAGAGCGUAUGAUUCCUAAUCAUAAGGUCAGAGGUUCGAAUCCUCUAGGGGUCACCA